rnacentral:rRNA from 1 species
AUGAACGCUGGCGGCGUGCCUAAUACAUGCAAGUCGCGCGAACGGACGAGAAGCUUGCUUCUCUGAUGUUAGCGGCGGACGGGUGAGUAACACGUGGAUAACCUACCUAUAAGACUGGGAUAACUUCGGGAAACCGGAGCUAAUACCGGAUGAUAUUUUGAACCGCAUGGUUCAAAAGUGAAAGACGGUCUUGCUGUCACUUAUAGAUGGAUCCGCGCUGCAUUAGCUAGUUGGUAAGGUAACGGCUUACCAAGGCAACGAUGCAUAGCCGACCUGAGAGGGUGAUCGGCCACACUGGAACUGAGACACGGUCCAGACUCCUACGGGAGGCAGCAGUAGGGAAUCUUCCGCAAUGGGCGAAAGCCUGACGGAGCAACGCCGCGUGAGUGAUGAAGGUCUUCGGAUCGUAAAACUCUGUUAUUAGGGAAGAACAUAUGUGUAAGUAACUGUGCACAUCUUGACGGUACCUAAUCAGAAAACCACGGCUAACUACGU